rnacentral:rRNA from 1 species
UAUCAAUAAGCGGAGGAAAAGAAACCAACAGGGAUUGCCUCAGUAACGGCGAGUGAAGCGGCAACAGCUCAAAUUUGAAAUCUGGCCCUAGGCCCGAGUUGUAAUUUGCAGAGGAUGCUUUUGGUGCGGUGCCUUCCAAGUUCCCUAGAACGGGACGCCAGAGAGGGUGAGAGCCCCGUACAGUUGGACACCAAGCCUUUGUAAAGCUCCUUCGACGAGUCGAGUAGUUUGGGAAUGCUGCUCAAAAUGGGAGGUAUAUUUCUUCUAAAGCUAAAUACCGGCCAGAGACCGAUAGCGCACAAGUAGAGUGAUCGAAAGAUGAAAAGCACUUUGAAAAGAGGGUUAAACAGCACGUGAAAUUGUUAAAAGGGAAGCGCUUGUGACCAGACUUGCGUCCGGUGAAUCACCCAGCUCUCGCGGCUGGGGCACUUCGCCGGCUCAGGCCAGCAUCAGCUCGCUGUCGGGGACAAAAGCUUCAGGAACGUAGCUCUCUUCGGGGAGUGUUAUAGCCUGUUGCACAAUACCCUUCGGCGGGCUGAGGUACGCGCUCCGCAAGGAUGCUGGCAUAAUGGUCAUCAGCGACCCGUCUUGAAACACGGACCAAGGAGUCAACCUUAUGUGCGAGUGUUCGGGUGUCAAACCCCUACGCGUAAUGAAAGUGAACGCAGGUGAGAGCUUCGGCGCAUCAUCGACCGAUCCUGAUGUUCUCGGAUGGAUUUGAGUAAGAGCAUAUAGGGUUGGACCCGAAAGAAGGUGAACUAUGCGUGUAUAGGGUGAAGCCAGAGGAAACUCUGGUGGAGGCUCGCAGCGGUUCUGACGUGCAAAUCGAUCGUCAAAUAUGCGCAUGGGGGCGAAAGACUAAUCGAACCUUCUAGUAGCUGGUUUCCGCCGAAGUUUCCCUCAGGAUAGCAGUGUUGAACUCAGUUUUAUGAGGUAAAGCGAAUGAUUAGGGACUCGGGGGCGCUAUAUUGCCUUCAUCCAUUCUCAAACUUUAAAUAUGUAAGAAGCCCUUGUUGCUUAAUUGAACGUGGGCAUUCGAAUGUAUCAACACUAGUGGGCCAUUUUUGGUAAGCAGAACUGGCGAUGCGGGAUGAACCGAACGCGAGGUUAAGGUGCCAGAGUAGACGCUCAUCAGACACCACAAAAGGUGUUAGUACAUCUUGACAGCAGGACGGUGGCCAUGGAAGUCGGAAUCCGCUAAGGACUGUGUAACAACUCACCUGCCGAAUGUACUAGCCCUGAAAAUGGAUGGCGCUCAAGCGUCUCACCCAUACCUCGCCCUCAGUGUAGAAACGAUGCGCUGAGGAGUAGGCGGACGUGGAGGUCGUGAC